UACAGAGGGUGCGAGCGUUAAUCGGAAUUACUGGGCGUAAAGCGUGCGUAGACGGCUAUCUAAGUCGGGUGUAGAAAGCCCCGGGCUCCAACUGGGAAUUGCAUUCGAGACUGAAUAGCUAGGGUACGGUAGAGGGAAGCGGAAUUUCCGGUGUAGCGGUGAAAUGCGUAGAUAUCAGGAGGAACACCGGUGGCGAAGGCGGCUACCUGGACAGAAACUGACGCUGAGGCGCGAAAGCUAGGGGAGCAAACAGG
rnacentral:rRNA from 1 species